GACGAACGCUGGCGGCGUGCUUAACACAUGCAAGUCGAACGGAAAGGCCCUGCUUUUGUGGGGUGCUCGAGUGGCGAACGGGUGAGGAACAGGUGAGUAACCUGCCCUUGACUUUGGGAUGACUUCAGGAAACUGGGGCUAAUACCGGAUAGGAGCUCCUGUUGGAGGGUGGGGGGGGGAAAGUUUGGGCGGGUGGGGAUGGACUCGCGGCUUAUCAGCUUGUUGGUGGGGGAGUGGCUUCCCAAGGGUUUGGCGGGUAGGCGGCCUGGGAGGGUGAACGGGCCCAUUGGGACUGAGAUACGGCCCAGAGUCCUACGGGAGGCAGCAGUGGGGAAUAUUGCACAAUGGGCGGAAGCCUGAUGCAGCAACGCCGCGUGCGGGAUGACGGCCUUCGGGUUGUAAACCGCUUUCGCCUGUGACGAAGCGUGAGUGACGGUAAUGGGUAAAGAAGCACCGGCUAACUACGUG
rnacentral:rRNA from 1 species